rnacentral:piRNA from 1 species
UACAAGUGUGUCGUAGGCUACUUUGCAUC